CAAUUAACUCAAUAACGCACUCAUAUAAUGACGAGAAUAAGGCUCGUAAGUAUCUACCAAACUACCGUAAAUAGUUUGACUAUGGGUGAGCGAUGAAGUUUG
rnacentral:ncRNA from 3 species